CCAGUGCUACAACCGCGCAGAAAAGGUCUUAAACUCAUUACGAGUACCUUGAUGGCGAGUCUGAGUUAAUUA
rfam:Virgibacillus sp. SK37, complete genome.